AGAGCUUCUCAUGCAGCCUGCACCAGCGCCGGGUCGGAGAGUCAGAGGCCACCCUGAGAUGGACCGAGAUCUUCAGUUGGGGAGGCGCCUCCGGUGAGCUUGCGGCCAGAUGCCCCCUCAGUAGUCCUCCGCAACAGGUGCCGCGCAGCCGAGUGGCGGGCUAGCAUACCGCCUGCCCGCAAUUCGGCCAGGCCUCGAGCCUGCUCCGCCUUCCCGCUGCGGUAGCGCCGCCGGGGAAACGCCGCCACGGGCUGCAUGGGCAGCGCUCGCGCCCCGCCGCUGAGCCGCCGGGGAGCCGUCCAGUCUUCGAAUCCCAGCUUGGUGGCAUGCAUGUUUAGUCCCAGCUACACAGCAGGGAGGCUGAGGCUGAAGGAAUACUUGAGCCCAGGAAUUCAAGACUAGCCUGCACAACAUACCACAGCAUGUUCCGAAGAGAUGAUUGGAAGAUGGAAGUGGAGGGUUAAAUAAUGAAAUGCAGCUAACAUUUCGGAAAGUUUCUAAAAGUUGUACAACAUGCCCUACAGCUACUCUUUAAAUCUCCAAAUCAAAUGAGUUUCAGGUGGAGCCUCUGGGAGGUGAUGAGGUCAUGAGAGUGGAGCCUCAUGAAUGGGAUGAGCACUCCUACAAAAAGGAUUCCAGAGAGCUCGCUUGCUCCUUCCACAGUGUGAGGACACAGAGGGAAGGCUCUGUCUAUGAAUGAGAAAGUGGGUCCCCACCAGACAUUGAAUCUGCCGCAUCUUGAUACUGGACUUCCAGUCUCCAGAACUGUGGGCAAUAAAUGUCUGUUGUUUAUUACCUGUCCAGUAUCUUUGGUAUUUUGCUAUAGCAACCCAAAUGGACUAAGAAAACACCAGAGGCCAUACCUAAUAAAAAUAUUGACAUCACAAUUUGUUGUAUCAGGUGACUGUUUUUCCACUAAAAUAGUUACUUUAAUUCACGAAUAGGUAAGUCAGGUAAAUGAAUUUUACUG
rnacentral:lncRNA from 1 species